AUUAUACACGUGAAACUGCGAAUGGCUCAUGUAAAUCAGUUAUCGUUUAUUUGAUAAUACCUUACUACUUGGAUAACCGUGGUAAUUCUAGAGCUAAUACAUGCUGAAAAUCCCGACUUCGGAAGGGAUGUGUUUAUUAGAUAAAAAACCAAUGCCCUUCGGGGCUUUUUGGUGAUUCAUGAUAACUUUACGGAUCGCAUAGCCUUGCGCUGGCGACGGUUCAUUCAAAUUUCUGCCCUAUCAACUUUCGAUGGUAAGGUAUUGGCUUACCAUGGUUUCAACGGGUAACGGGGAAUUAGGGUUCGAUUCCGGAGAGGGAGCCUGAGAAACGGCUACCACAUCCAAGGAAGGCAGCAGGCGCGCAAAUUACCCAAUCCCGACACGGGGAGGUAGUGACAAUAAAUACUGAUACAGGGCUCUUUUGGGUCUUGUAAUUGGAAUGAGUACAAUUUAAACCUCUUAACGAGGAACAAUUGGAGGGCAAGUCUGGUGCCAGCAGCCGCGGUAAUUCCAGCUCCAAUAGCGUAUAUUAAAGUUGUUGCAGUUAAAAAGCUCGUAGUUGAAACUUGGGCCUGGCUGGCGGGUCCGCCUCACCGCGUGCACUCGUCCGGCCGGGCCUUCCUUCUGAAGAACCUCAUGCCCUUCACUGGGCGUGCUGGGGAAUCAGGACUUUUACUUUGAAAAAAUUAGAGUGUUCAAAGCAGGCCUUUGCUCGAAUACGUUAGCAUGGAAUAAUAAAAUAGGGCGUGCGUUUCUAUUUUGUUGGUUUCUAGAGACGCCGCAUGAUUAACAGGAACAGUCGGGGGCAUCAGUAUUCAAUUGUCAGAGUGAAAUUCUUGGAAUUACUGAAGACUACUACUGCCAAAGCAUUUGCCAAGGAUGUUU
rnacentral:rRNA from 1 species